rnacentral:rRNA from 1 species
UACGGGGGGAGCAAGCGUUGUUCGGAUUUACUGGGCGUAAAGGGCGCGUAGGCGGCGUGACAAGUCACUUGUGAAAUCUCCGGGCUUAACCCGGAGCGGUCAAGUGAUACUGUCGUGCUAGAGUGCGGAAGGGGCUACUGGAAUUCCUGGUGUAGCGGUGAAAUGCGCAGAUAUCAGGAGGAACACCGGUGGCGAAGGCGGGUCUCUGGGCCGUAACUGACGCUGGAGGAGCGAAAGCCGUGGGGAGCGAACAGG